AUCUUACAGAUGUUUGAAUACCGAAUUAGUAUAAAUACUAUUAAGAUCUUUUAACAGGACAUCAGUGAUCUACAGUUAUUACAUCGAUACAUAUCGAGUUUUUCACUUUAGUCGAGUCACCUCAAUUCACAUCCAAACAUCAUCAUGUACAAGUUAUUGUUAUUGGUUGCUGUCGCUCUCGCUUUGGUCGCUGUUGUUUCUUCUCAAGCAAUUUACACCUACCCUGUUCAUACCUACGCACCGGUGUACACCUAUCCAUCGUACCACUACACUUACCCACUUUCUUACAAUCCAUACAUCACUUUACUUCGUCGAUGAAUAUAUUUUCCACCAACUUUAAAACUAUCUGGACUUAUUCUGCCAAUUUUAUGAAAACAACAACGUAAAAUGUAUUUAUUUUGUACAUUUAUAAUUUGCUAUUUCUUUACUGUUAAUUCUUUGAUAUUUAUGUAACCCAUUUAAUGUAAUAUACAUAUAUCAUCACUUAUUAAAAA